UCCGUACCAACAAAAUCCGAAACCUCUGGCUUAUAUAUAUAGCUUCUUCUGCUCGUGUAUUUAGCUACAGCAGCUCCUGAUAAAGCAAUUCCAACAUACGCUUCUGCUUAGGUGAAAAGUAGAAAUAAAGUUAUUUUAUCAAACAUUACUUACUGUGCCAUACAAUAGGGUCGGUCAAUCAUCAGAUUUAUUGGCGGGUUAUCGAAUUGUUCCGAUAUCUCUCUAUGGGCUUGUUGAACCGAGUCAAAUCGCGAAAUGAU
rnacentral:lncRNA from 1 species